rnacentral:rRNA from 1 species
GAUGGACGCUGGCGGUGUGCCUAAUACAUGCAAGUCGAGCGAACAGACGAGGAGCUUACUCCUCUGACGUUAGCGGCGGACGGGUGAGUAACACGUGGAUAACCUACCUAUAAGACUGGGAUAACUUCGGGAAACCGGAGCUAAUACCGGAUAACAUGUUGAACCGCAUGGUUCAACAGUGAAAGACGGUCUUGCUGUCACUUAUAGAUGGAUCCGCGUCGCAUUAGCUAGUUGGUAAGGUAACGGCUUACCAAGGCAACGAUGCGUAGCCGACCUGAGAGGGUGAUCGGCCACACUGGAACUGAGACACGGUCCAGACUCCUACGGGAGGCAGCAGUAGGGAAUCUUCCGCAAUGGGCGAAAGCCUGACGGAGCAACGCCGCGUGAGUGAAGAAGGUCUUCGGAUCGUAAAACUCUGUUAUUAGGGAAGAACAAAUGUGUAAGUAACUAUGCACGUCUUGACGGUACCUAAUCAGAAAGCCACGGCUAACUACGUG